rnacentral:rRNA from 1 species
UUCGCCCUUAGAGUUUGAUCCUGGCUCAGGAUGAACGCUGGCGGCGUGCCUAACACAUGCAAGUCGAACGAAGCACUUUGAUUUCUUCGGAAAGAGAGGUGACUGAGUGGCGGACGGGUGAGUAACGCGUGGGUAACCUGCCUCAUACAGGGGGAUAACAGUUAGAAAUGACUGCUAAUACCGCAUAAGCGCACAGUACUGCAUGGUACAGUGUGAAAAACUCCGGUGGUAUGAGAUGGACCCGCGUCUGAUUAGCUAGUUGGUGGGGUAACGGCCUACCAAGGCGACGAUCAGUAGCCGACCUGAGAGGGUGACCGGCCACAUUGGGACUGAGACACGGCCCAAACUCCUACGGGAGGCAGCAGUGGGGAAUAUUGCACAAUGGGGGAAACCCUGAUGCAGCGACGCCGCGUGAGCGAAGAAGUAUUUCGGUAUGUAAAGCUCUAUCAGCAGGGAAGAAAAUGACGGUACCUGACUAAGAAGCCCCGGCUAACUACGUGCCAGCAGCCGCGGUAAUACGUAGGGGGCAAGCGUUAUCCGGAUUUACUGGGUGUAAAGGGAGCGUAGACGGUUAAGUAAGUCUGAAGUGAAAGCCCGGGGCUCAACCCCGGGACUGCUUUGGAAACUAUUUAACUGGAGUGCAGGAGAGGUAAGUGGAAUUCCUAGUGUAGCGGUGAAAUGCGUAGAUAUUAGGAGGAACACCAGUGGCGAAGGCGGCUUACUGGACUGUAACUGACGUUGAGGCUCGAAAGCGUGGGGAGCAAACAGGAUUAGAUACCCUGGUAGUCCACGCCGUAAACGAUGAUUACUAGGUGUCGGGGGUUAUGAACCUUCGGUGCCGCAGCAAACGCAAUAAGUAAUCCACCUGGGGAGUACGUUCGCAAGGUUGAAACUCAAAGGAAUUGACGGGGGCCCGCACAAGCAGCGGAGCAUGUGGUUUAAUUCGACGCAACGCGAAGAACCUUACCAGGUCUUGACAUCCAAUAAAUCCCGUAGAGAUACGGAGUGAGCUUGCUCGUAUUGAGACAGGUGGUGCAUGGUUGUCGUCAGCUCGUGUCGUGAGAUGUUGGGUUAAGUCCCGCAACGAGCGCAACCCUUACCUUUAGUUACUAACGUGUCAUGGCGAGGACUCUAGAGGGACUGCCGGGGACAACUCGGAGGAAGGUGGGGACGACGUCAAAUCAUCAUGCCCCUUAUGACCUGGGCUACACACGUGCUACAAUGGCCACCACAGAGAGAAGCGAGCCUGUAAGGGUAAGCGGAACUCAAAAAAGUGGUCCCAGUUCGGAUUGUGGGCUGCAACCCGCCCACAUGAAGUCGGAGUUGCUAGUAAUCGCGGAUCAGCAUGCCGCGGUGAAUACGUUCCCGGGCCUUGCACUCACCGCCCGUCA